UAUCGUUUAUUUGAUAGUACCUUACNACAUGGAUACCUGUGGUAAUUCUAGAGCUAAUACAUGCUAAAAACCCCGACUUCAGGAAGGGGUGUAUUUAUUAGAUAAAAAACCAACGCCCUUCGGGGCUCCUUGGUGAAUCAUAAUAACUUAACGAAUCGCAUGGCCNUGCGCCGGCGAUGGUUCAUUCAAAUUUNUGCCCUAUCAACNUUCNAUGGUAGGAUAGUGGCCUACCAUGGUGGCAACGGGUAACGGGGAAUUAGGGUUCGAUUCCGGAGAGGGAGCCUGAGAAACGGCUACCACA
rnacentral:rRNA from 1 species